rnacentral:rRNA from 1 species
UGAGCGUCAGUACAGGUCCAGGGGAUUGCCUUCGCCAUCGGUGUUCCUCCGCAUAUCUACGCAUUUCACUGCUACACGCGGAAUUCCAUCCCCCUCUACCGUACUCUAGCCAUGCAGUCACAAAUGCAGUUCCCAGGUUGAGCCCGGGGAUUUCACAUCUGUCUUACAUAACCGCCUGCGCACGCUUUACGCCCAGUAAUUCCGAUUAACGCUCGCACCCUACGUAUUACCGCGGCUGCUGGCACGUAGUUAGCCGGUGCUUAUUCUUACGGUACCGUCAUGGGCCUCUCGUAUUAGGAGAAGCUUUUUCGUUCCGUACAAAAGCAGUUUACAACCCGAAGGCCUUCAUCCUGCACGCGGCAUUGCUGGAUCAGGCUUUCGCCCAUUGUCCAAAAUUCCCCACUGCUGCCUCCCGUAGGAGUCUGGGCCGUGUCUCAGUCCCAGUGUGGCUGGUCGUCCUCUCAGACCAGCUACAGAUCGUCGGCUUGGUAAGCUUUUAUCCCACCAACUACCUAAUCUGCCAUCGGCCGCUCCAAUCGCGCGAGGCCCGAAGGUCCCCCGCUUUCAUCCUCAGAUCGUAUGCGGUAUUAGCUACUCUUUCGAGUAGUUAUCCCCCACGACUGGGCACGUUCCGAUGUAUUACUCACCCGUUCGCCACUCGUCAGCGUCCGAAGACCUGUUACCGUUCGACUUGCAUGUGUAAGGCAUGCCGCCAGCGUUCAAU